UUGCUUCAGUAGCACAUGUACUAAAAUUGGAAUGAUACAGAGAAGAUUAGCACAGCUCCUUCACACAAACUCAUGAAGCAGUCCACGCUAAAAAAAAUUUUU
ensembl:snRNA U6 U6 spliceosomal RNA